rnacentral:tRNA from 2 species
GGGAUUGACUGGGUAAACGAGAACUGCUAAUUACUCGCCCCCGCGGUUCAAUUCCGCGGCUUUCCCG